rnacentral:rRNA from 1 species
UCAGGAUGAACGCUAGCUACAGGCUAACACAUGCAAGUCGAGGGGCAGCAUAACGAAAGCUUGCUUCGUGAGUGGCGACCGGCGCACGGGUGAGUAACGCGUAUCCAACCUUCCCCUUAGUAGGGGAUAGCCCGUUGAAAGACGGAUUAAUACCCUAUGUUAUUCGUGGGUGGCAUCUGAAAUGAAUCAAAAGGUUUACCGCUAAGGGAUGGGGAUGCGUCUGAUUAGGUAGUAGGCGGGGUAACGGCCCACCUAGCCAACGAUCAGUAGGGGUCUGAGAGGAAGGUCCCCCACAUUGGAACUGAGACACGGUCCAAACUCCUACGGGAGGCAGCAGUGAGGAAUAUUGGUCAAUGGGCGAGAGCCUGAACCAGCCAAGGUUAAGCGUGCAGGAUGACGGCCCUAUGGGUUGUAAACUGUCUUUUAUCAGGGGAUAAAGUGAGGGACGUGUCCCUUUUUGUAGGUACCUACGGUAUGAAUAAGGACCGGCUAAUUCCGUGCCAGCCGCGGC